rnacentral:rRNA from 1 species
GAUUAACGCUAGCGGCAGGCCUAAUACAUGCAAGUUGUACGGGAUUAUUGGUAGCAAUACUGAUAUGAGAGUAGCGCACGGGUGCGUAACACGUAUGCAACCUACCUUUAACUGGGGAAUAGCUCACCGAAAGGUGAAUUAACACCGCAUAAAAUCACAGAAGGACAUCCUUUAAUGAUUAAAUCUCCGGAGGUUAAAGAUGGGCAUGCGUCCGAUUAGCUAGUUGGC